GUAGUGUAUGCUUUUCCUGAAGACUAAGCCAUGCAUGCCUCCGACGAAGAGGAACAUCUCUCUGAAUCUGCGAACGGCUCCGCAAACCAGUUGUAAACCAUAGCAAAGUCCUGCCCGGGUCCUUUCACCGGGACUCGCGGCAAAUCCAAGGAAGUAGAUGGAUAUCCCUGGUAAUUCUGAGGCUAAUACAUGAACGUCACCUCACCCCGGCCGGGCCACCGACGCGGGUGAGCGUGCGAGAAACAGCUGGCAAACAGCUCUCGAAAGAACGCACGCUUUGACCACCGCCAAAGGAACAAUGCCGUCGUGCACAUUCCUGGUGGUCUUUGCAGCGGGCUUCUGACCUAUCAACUAGACGGCAGCGUAAGGGACAUGCUAUGGUGACAACGGGUACAGAGGAUUAGGGUUCGAUCCUGGAGAGUGGGCCUGAGAGAUUGCUCAUACUUCUAAGGAAGGCAGCAGGCGCGCAACGUUCCCCCUGGGCAACGCUCGAGGGCGUUACGGGAAAUAUGAAUGCUUGCCUUUACGGUAGGCAAUUCAAAUGGGUUUGUCGUAAACAAACUCUCGAGUAACAA
rnacentral:rRNA from 1 species